rnacentral:rRNA from 1 species
UACGUAGGGUGCGAGCGUUGUCCGGAUUUAUUGGGCGUAAAGGGCUCGUAGGCGGCGUGUCGGCGUCGGGAGUGAAAGCCCGUUGCUUAACGGCGGGUUGGCUUUCGGUACGGGCAUGCUGGAGGUGCGGCGAGGGGAGACUGGAAUUCCUGGUGAUAGCGGUGGAAUGCGCAGAUAUCAGGGAGGGAACACCGGUGGGCGAAGGCGGGUCUCUGGGC